rnacentral:rRNA from 1 species
UACGUAGGGACCGAGCGUUGUCCGGAAUCAUUGGGCGUAAAGAGCGUGUAGGCGGCCACUUAAGUCCUGCGUGAAAUCUUGCGGCUCAACCGCAAGCGGUCGUGGGAAACUGGGUGGCUAGAGUGCGGGAGAGGAGAGUGGAAUUCCUGGUGUAGCGGUGGAAUGCGCAGAUAUCAGGAAGAACACCCGUGGCGAAAGGCGGCUCUCUGGAACGCAACUGACGCUGAGACGCGAAAAGCGUGGGGGAGCAAAACAGG